rnacentral:rRNA from 1 species
AGUGAACGCUGGCGGUAGGCCUAACACAUGCCAGUCGAACGGCAGCACAGUAAGAGCUUGCUCUUACGGGUGGCGAGUGGCGGACGGGUGAGGAAUACAUCGGAAUCUACUUUUUCGUGGGGGAUAACGUAGGGAAACUUACGCUAAUACCGCAUACGACCUACGGGUGAAAGCAGGGGAUCUUCGGACCUUGCGCGAUUGAAUGAGCCGAUGUCGGAUUAGCUAGUUGGCGGGGUAAAGGCCCACCAAGGCGACGAUCCGUAGCUGGUCUGAGAGGAUGAUCAGCCACACUGGAACUGAGACACGGUCCAGACUCCUACGGGAGGCAGCAGUGGGGAAUAUUGGACAAUGGGCGCAAGCCUGACCCAGCCAUACCGCGUGAGUGAAGAAGGCCUUCGGGUUGUAAAGCCCUUUUGUUGGGAAAGAAAAGCAGCAGGUUAAUCCCCCGCUGUUCUGACGGUACCCAAAGAAUAAGCACCGGCUAACUUCGUG